GACUGGAUAGCUCAGUUGAUUAGAGUGUGGUGCUGAUGAUGCCAAGGAUGCAGGUCCAAUCCCCGUAUAGGACA